GACGAACCGUGCGAACGUUAUUCGGAAUCACUGGGCUUAAAGGGCGCGUAGACGGGUCGCCGCGUCGAUGGCUGAAAGCCCCCGGCUCAACCGGGGAAUGGGCCUCGAAACGGGUGGCCUCGAGUGGAGGAGGGGACCUGGAACUUCCGGUGGAGCGGUGAAAUGCGUUGAGAUCGGAAGGAACGCCGGCGGCGAAAGCGAGGUCCGUGGACUCCGACUGACGUUGAGGCGCGAAAGCCAGGGGAGGCGAACGGG
rnacentral:rRNA from 1 species